UAAAACAAGGCACGGAUGCAAUUAGAGAACUAAUCCGGUGCUAUGGGACCACGUCCGAGUUGGAUACCGUGUCCCGGCCACCGCAUUAAUAAUAAAAAGGGUGGGGAAAAUGAAAACUUGAAAGAGGGCACGCAUGCAUUGGAGAGAGAUCGGGAGCUAAAAGGUACUUCCUCUCUCUCCUCCCCUUAUUUUCCCUUCCAUAAUCUCUUUAGAUUCUUGAUCCCCAAAAACUCUUGAUUCGAGGAUCACCGAUUCGUUUUUCCUUUAUUCUGAUCUGGUUAGGGAUUCUCGUUUUUCGUUUUUUUUUUCCAAUCUUUUCAUGCGGUGUAUAUAGAUUUCU
rnacentral:lncRNA from 1 species